rfam:Microbacterium sp. 67-17 scnpilot_p_inoc_scaffold_321, whole genome shotgun sequence.
GGGAAGCUCUCCGCGCGGCGGCAUCCAGGCCAACUCCCCCAGGACGGAAACGUAGCAAGGGUAACCAGGCUCUGCCGGGUGCGCGGAGAGUCUUACUUUU